AAUUGUUACAUCUCUCGUCAUUACUAACGAAGAAGGCCAAGUGUGAGAAGAAGCAGUCAUGUUCAUUCUCAGAUGACUGUAAUGACGAUUGGGGAAAUUCACCACUGACAGAAAUGUCCAGAGGAGCAGCUUCUGCCUUCACCGAAGGCUCCGAUAGACUCAGUUCUGUUGUUCACGAGGGUGCUGCCACGAAGAAGGGCGAGGUCAAAAAAGUGGAAAUGAAUGUCAGAGCCACCUCAAAUGCAGAGUCGGAGAAAUCUCAAGUUGAUGAGACUCCCACUCAUUCCCUCCUGGAUCUCCUUGCUGAACAAGCCCUGGCUCAGGAGCAACACCUCCCAGGGCUCCAGGAGCUCCUAGCAGAAGUUGCAAAAACCAAGUGUUUUGUUCAUCACUGGAGCUUCUCGGAGACACAGAGUUCUCCCCUACUCCCUCCUCCUCCUCCUCAGUCCAGCCCAGUUGGUUUCCCAGCACAGAGUAUAUGUGGUGACAUUUUGCCUCAGAUGCUUCAGGUUGGAGGCACCAAACAUGCAGAUGCUGUUCAGGUGCACAGAGUCUCUGAAGGUGAUGGUGCUACAAAAUGACAACCUUCAACAAAGACAUGCAAUGGAGCAGAAUCGUUGAAGAUGAACUGGGCACAUGAGGUUCUAAUGGAGUAGUUCUUAUACUAAAAUCAACAAAGUUAAUGUCUUAAACUACACACUUUCACUUAAUACAUAAUAAAGAGAGCAUGUCAUA